rnacentral:tRNA from 1 species
UCCCUCGAGCCGGAUUUCACCCAGCGACCUAAGGAUCACCGUUGUAACAUCUACAGUCCUCCGCUCUGCCAACUGAGCUAUCGAGGG